UGCUAGAGUUUGAAUUUCGGG
rnacentral:piRNA from 1 species